UGAGACUCUGUGCGCGUGCAUAUCAAUAAGCGGAGGAAAAGAAACUAACUAGGAUUCCCUCAGUAACGGCGAGUGAAGCGGGAAGAGCUCAAAUUUGAAAUCUUCAAGGUUCUACCUUGACGAAUUGUAGUUUAAAGAAGUGUUUUCUGUUGGAGUUUUGGUAAAAGUUCUUUGGAAUAGGACAUCAUAGAGGGUGAGAAUCCCGUAUUUGACCAUUAUUUCCAACUUUGUGAUACACUUUCAAAGAGUCGGAUUGUUUGGGAAUGCAGUCCAAAAUGGGUGGUAAAUUUCAUCUAAAGCUAAAUAUUGGCGAGAGACCGAUAGCGAACAAGUACCGUGAGGGAAAGAUGAAAAGAACUUUGAAAAGAGAGUUAAACAGUACGUGAAAUUGUCAAAAGGGAAGCGUUUGACACCAGUGUUGUUUUUUCCGAAAAUCAAUUACGAAUGUUUUAGUUUUUGAGAAGUUAUGACUUCAUCGGCUUGCUUCUCUCUUUAUGAAACUUUCUUAAUGCACUUUUCGGUUAACAAGUCAACAUCAAUUUCUUUUGUUGUAAAAGGGUAUGAGGAAGGUGGCUUUCUUUUCGGAGAAAGUGUUUAUAGCCUUGUACCUCUGCAAUCGGAGAGAUUGAGGUCUGCAGCGUAGAUCCUUCGGGGUUAGAUACAUUUGUGCUAAGUUAUAGCUUUUCAUAGACAACUUGUUGACUAUGUUUAGUCUUGUAGCUUACUCGCUUAUGCUAUUUUACCUACGCUUAGGAUGUUGAACUCUAUCACACACAG
rnacentral:rRNA from 1 species